rnacentral:rRNA from 1 species
UACGUAGGGGGCAAGCGUUGUCCGGAAUCAUUGGGCGUAAAGCGCGUGUAGGCGGUCCGGUAAGUCCGUUGUGAAAGUCAGGGGCUCAACCCUUGAAUGCCGGCGGAUACUGUCGGGCUAGAGUCCGGAAGGGGCGAGUGGAAUUCCCGGUGUAGCGGUGAAAUGCGCAGAUAUCGGGAGGAACACCUAUGGCGAAGGCAGCUCGCUGGGACGGUACUGACGCUGAGACGCGAAAGCGUGGGGAGCAAACAGG